rnacentral:rRNA from 1 species
AGAGUUUGAUCAUGGCUCAGAUUGAACGCUGGCGGCAGGCCUAACACAUGCAAGUCGAACGGUAACAGGAAGCAGCUUGCUGCUUUGCUGACGAGUGGCGGACGGGUGAGUAAUGUCUGGGAAACUGCCUGAUGGAGGGGGAUAACUACUGGAAACGGUGGCUAAUACCGCAUAACGUCGCAAGACCAAAGAGGGGGACCUUCGGGCCUCUUGCCAUCAGAUGUGCCCAGAUGGGAUUAGCUGGUUGGUGAGGUAACGGCUCACCAAGGCGACGAUCCCUAGCUGGUCUGAGAGGAUGACCAGCCACACUGGAACUGAGACACGGUCCAGACUCCUACGGGAGGCAGCAGUGGGGAAUAUUGCACAAUGGGCGCAAGCCUGAUGCAGCCAUGCCGCGUGUAUGAAGAAGGCCUUCGGGUUGUAAAGUACUUUCAGCGGGGAGGAAGGUGUUGUGGUUAAUAACCGCAGCAAUUGACGUUACCCGCAGAAGAAGCACCGGCUAACUCCGUGCCAGCAGCCGCGGUAAUACGGAGGGUGCAAGCGUUAAUCGGAAUUACUGGGCGUAAAGCGCACGCAGGCGGUCUGUCAAGUCGGAUGUGAAAUCCCCGGGCUCAACCUGGGAACUGCAUUCGAAACUGGCAGGCUUGAGUCUUGUAGAGGGGGGUAGAAUUCCAGGUGUAGCGGUGAAAUGCGUAGAGAUCUGGAGGAAUACCGGUGGCGAAGGCGGCCCCCUGGACAAAGACUGACGCUCAGGUGCGAAAGCGUGGGGAGCAAACAGGAUUAGAUACCCUGGUAGUCCACGCCGUAAACGAUGUCUACUUGGAGGUUGUGCCCUUGAGGCGUGGCUUCCGGAGCUAACGCGUUAAGUAGACCGCCUGGGGAGUACGGCCGCAAGGUUAAAACUCAAAUGAAUUGACGGGGGCCCGCACAAGCGGUGGAGCAUGUGGUUUAAUUCGAUGCAACGCGAAGAACCUUACCUGGUCUUGACAUCCACAGAACUUUCCAGAGAUGGAUUGGUGCCUUCGGGAACUGUGAGACAGGUGCUGCAUGGCUGUCGUCAGCUCGUGUUGUGAAAUGUUGGGUUAAGUCCCGCAACGAGCGCAACCCUUAUCCUUUGUUGCCAGCGGUCCGGCCGGGAACUCAAAGGAGACUGCCAGUGAUAAACUGGAGGAAGGUGGGGAUGACGUCAAGUCAUCAUGGCCCUUACGACCAGGGCUACACACGUGCUACAAUGGCGCAUACAAAGAGAAGCGACCUCGCGAGAGCAAGCGGACCUCAUAAAGUGCGUCGUAGUCCGGAUUGGAGUCUGCAACUCGACUCCAUGAAGUCGGAAUCGCUAGUAAUCGUGGAUCAGAAUGCCACGGUGAAUACGUUCCCGGGCCUUGUACACACCGCCCGUCACACCAUGGGAGUGGGUUGCAAAAGAAGUAGGUAGCUUAACCUUCGGGAGGGCGCUUACCACUUUGUGAUUCAUGACUGGGGUGAAGUCGUAACAAGGUAACCGUAGGGGAACCUGCGGUUG